rnacentral:rRNA from 1 species
CCACCGCGGUUAUACGAGAGGCCCAAGUUGAUAGUUAUCGGCGUAAAGAGUGGCCUGGGAAAAAUUACAAAAUAAAGCCGAACAUCUUCAAUACUGUUAUACGCGCUUGAAGAUAAGAAGCCCCACCACGAAAGUGGCUUUACCCCUUCCCACCCCACGAAAGCCAGGAAACAAACUGGGAUUAGAUACCCCACUAUGCCCGGCCGUAAACGUUGAUAUGUAAUUACAAAUAAUAUCCGCCCGGGUACUACGAGCGUCAGCUUAAAACCCAAAGAACUUGGCGGUGCUUUAGACCCCCCUAGAGGAGCCUGCUUCUAGAACCGAUGAUCCCCGUUCAACCUCACCCCUCCCUGUUAAUUCUGCCUAUAUACCGCCGUCGCCAGCCUACCCCGUGAAGGAAUUAUAGUGGGCCAACCUGGUACAACCCCCAACGUCAGGUCGAGGUGUAGCAUAUGGAGGGGGAAGCAGUGGGCUACAUUCGCUGGAUCAGCGAACUACGAAAGAUGAACUGAAAAACGCAUCCGAAGGUGGAUUUAGUAGUAAGAGGAGAGCAGCGUGCCCCUCUGAACCCGGCUCUUAAGCGCGUACACAUCGCCCGUCACUCUCCCCGAAUUAACCUAUAAUCGUAUGUAACAACACGGAUAACCCUAAGGGGAGGCAAGUCGUAACAUAGUAAGUG